rnacentral:lncRNA from 1 species
CUUUAAUGAAGAGCAUGCAGAUUUUUAUUAUCUUUUUUUUUUUCUUUUUUUCAUUUUUUUGCCUUACAUUUUAUAUAACAUUUUCCUAAAGAAAUAACGGACUUUAUCUUGCUAAUUAGGCCAUAAAACUACUCUUUGGACCAAUGAAAUUAUGAGAAAAGAUCAAAGGUUUAUUAGGCCCAAUACGGUCCAAAAGUUACAAAAUUAAAUAAUACCAUUUAAAACUAUUCAAACAAUUUAAAACGUAAUUAAUACGUCUAAAAGUCUCAAACCUCAAAACGUAAAGAGAGAAACAUGGUGGUGUUUCUUCAACCUUUUCCCAUUUCCAUUACUGUAAUCGGGCCUGAUGUCAAGGAUGGCACCACCAUUGUAUUCGAGCUAGCAACCUACCGAGCAUAUAUCGGUGCAUCUCUUUACCUUCGUUGACCACUGAAGCUUUUCCACAAGAUUAUGGCAACUCCACCAUUCGUCGCAACUCCUCCUUAGCCGAAAUCACCUCUGGCCGGACCAGCUUCACCAACUUUUAAGAAGCACAGAGACCGACCUCAUGGUUCUAGUAAGAAGCAACUUUACCAAUUUUGUGAAUUACUAGAUAUGUAUUAGAUAUAACUUUGAUUCUCCGCGUAGGAAAUGUUUGAGAAAAUGACACAAAGGAGUUUUAUGUUUGGUUAGUGAUGAUAUCUGGAUAUUUUAAGAAGGGUGAUAUCAACACAAGAGGGAUUUAUAAUUGGAUGAGUUCGGGGAACUUGAUUAUUUGGAAUUCGUAGAUUAUUGGAUGUAUGCUAAGGUUUGAGAGAUUAAGGUUUCUAUAUAUUUUUGUUUCCUCAUUUUAUAAUCUGGAUUUUUUUGUCAAUGGUGUAGAGGAAGAGGUUAAGAUCUAUGAGCUCAAGAAAGAUGAUUUCUCCGUAAAAUUGACCAUUUUUUGUGCUAGAAUCAUAUACGUUAUUCUUCUCAACGGUAAUCGAUAAUUUUUUUUGGACACUUUUUUUGAGUGUUUG